rnacentral:rRNA from 1 species
AGAUUGAACGCUGGCGGCAUGCCUAACACAUGCAAGUCGAACGGGAGUAGCAAUACUCUAGUGGCGGACGGGUGAGGAAUACGUAGGAAUUUGCCCUUAAGUGGGGGAUAACCCGGGGAAACCCGGAUUAAUACCGCAUGACCUCGAAAGAGCAAAGUGGGGGAUCGCAAGACCUCACGCUUUUGGAGAAGCCUACGUCGGAUUAGCUAGUUGGUGAGGUAAUGGCUCACCAAGGCGACGAUCCGUAACUGGUCUGAGAGGAUGAUCAGUCACACCGGAACUGAGACACGGUCCGGACUCCUACGGGAGCAGCAGUGGGGAAUAUUGGACAAGUGGGCGCAAG